GGGGCUGUAGCUCAGCCUGGCAGAGCACCUCGUUCGCAACGAGGGGGUCAGGGGUUCAAAUCCCCUCAGCUCCACCC
rnacentral:tRNA from 1 species